rnacentral:rRNA from 2 species
GAUUGAACGCUGGCGGCAGGCCUAACACAUGCAAGUCGAGCGGUAGCACAGAGAGCUUGCUCUCGGGUGACGAGCGGCGGACGGGUGAGUAAUGUCUGGGAAACUGCCUGAUGGAGGGGGAUAACUACUGGAAACGGUAGCUAAUACCGCAUAACGUCGCAAGACCAAAGUGGGGGACCUUCGGGCCUCAUGCCAUCAGAUGUGCCCAGAUGGGAUUAGCUAGUAGGUGGGGUAACGGCUCACCUAGGCGACGAUCCCUAGCUGGUCUGAGAGGAUGACCAGCCACACUGGAACUGAGACACGGUCCAG